UACAGAUAGCGGUGUACAGAUAGC
rnacentral:siRNA from 1 species